rnacentral:piRNA from 1 species
UGAGCAUUUCUAGCCCCAAGCAUCAAUUU